GUGCCGCCGAGAUAAAAGAUGACAUUGGCGAGCAUAAUCGUUGGGUCCCACCUGUUAUUAGCGCUGGCAUGUUCAUAGAGCUUGAUCCAGUCGUCGACAUCCUGUCCCUCCAGGCCAGAGAACACACCUGGAUCACGAUGUGGGGCAACCGUGAUGAUUGGAGCAGUUGGACAAGCUGUUGCAGAGGCUGGCUCGUCACCGGGAGGCAUGGUGACUAGCUCGGUGUGCCGACCACUUCGGAGUUCCGUGCUGAAGGCCCGACAACGCAAGAGAGAGAGGGAGCUGGCGAAUGGACGAGGGGUGCCCCGCUGGGCUAGUGUCCCGGCCGGCGCCUUGCCCUGCAACCUGAUCCGUGCCACCGGGUUUUCGGCAGACCGCCUGAUCAGUGUGAAUCGCCAGCACCUCCGAGAGGGACGAAGGCGUCAGUGCGGCCAGUGGAGAACUUGGGUUUUAGGUUUCUUCUCUCUUCCUUUUCUCUUCCUUUCGAUCUGUCCUUUGUAACAUAAACCUGUCUCGAAACGGC